rnacentral:rRNA from 1 species
UACGUAGGGUGCGAGCGUUAAUCGGAAUUACUGGGCGUAAAGCGUGCGCAGGCGGUUGGGUAAGACAGAUGUGAAAUCCCUGAGCUUAACUUAGGAAUAGCAUUUGUGACUGCUCGACUGGAGUGUGUCAGAGGGAGGUGGAAUUCCAAGUGUAGCAGUGAAAUGCGUAGAUAUUUGGAAGAACACCGAUGGCGAAGGCAGCCUCCUGGGAUAACACUGACGCUCAUGCACGAAAGCGUGGGGAGCAAACAGG